rnacentral:rRNA from 1 species
UACGUAGGGCGCAAGCGUUAUCCGGAAUUAUUGGGCGUAAAGAGCUCGUAGGCGGUUUGUCGCGUCUGCCGUGUAAGUCCGGGGCUCAACUCCGGAUCUGCGGUGGGUACGGGCAGACUAGAGUGAUGUAGGGGAGACUGGAAUUCCUGGUGUAGCGGUGAAAUGCGCAGAUAUCAGGAGGAACACCGAUGGCGAAGGCAGGUCUCGUGGGCAUUAACUGACGCUGAGGAGCGAAAGCAUGGGGAGCGAACAGG